rnacentral:lncRNA from 1 species
AUAAUGCCAAAUGGAAUAGUGUGAUUGGAUUCUAGAAACUUUUAUUAGGCAUAAAUAAACCCUAAUUCCAGUAUUCUGUUUUGAAUAAACAAUGGUUGUUUUAUCUCAAGAACACAGUCCAUACCUAAAGUUCAAGAUCUAGAGAGAUUGUUAUAUUUUUUUUUUAAUUAUAAUUGAUUAUGAAUGAUGCUGAAAAAAAAAAUGAGGAAGAUGACGAGGAUGGGUGGUAUCGGAAAGUAUAUUGAUUAUUGAGAGUUGGAGUAGUUAGUUUUUUGAGACCACAGUUCUUCAACGGCUGAGGUUAGGCUGCCACUCAUCUAAAGAUGGUGUUUGUUAUCAUCCUCAGGAUCUUUUAUUUUUGAGAUUCCUUUCAACUCCUAGAACUCAAAGAAGAGCAUUGUUACAAUCUGAAAUUGCUAAUUACGUGGGAGGUAAAAGGAUGAAUUGAGAGCAUGACUUCAACAAUUUGUAAUUUUUGCUUUCAACUUAUUGUAAUUUCAGAGAUUUGGUUAUGAGCUUGUUAUACUUUAUUUUCUUCCAAAUUAAUAAACAUUCUAGUUAUCCCCCGAGUGUUAAAAGCUUUUUGCAAGCUGUAUGAGUUCAAUUACAUUGGAAUCCCUCAAAAUAUUUUGUGAAAAAAUAUGGUUUUGACAAGAUGAGAGAGAGAGAGUAUUUGUUCGAUCUCCUUGUAAACAAAAUAUUGUUAGAGAUAAAGCAAUUGAAAUUCUCAUGGUUUCUCAUCAUAUCAAUUAAUUAUGGUGGUGAAGAAGGUAUUACUUCAUUGCCUUCUGUACGAAUGACAUUGAGUCUACACUGAUUACUGUCGGCCUUAAAAUAAAUGUUCAUAGCGUUUCAUGUUCAUAGCGUUUCAUGUUUUUUUUUAUCUGGUGUUAGAGAUAAAGUGAUUGUAAUUCUCAUCAUUUCUCAUCAUAGGGUGGUGAAGAAAAUUGGACUGGGUGGCAUCGGAAGAAAUUGUCUUAUUCAUGGUCCUGAUUAACGCAGGGAUGAGGUGAAAUUGGGUUAUGGUGUUGGUUUAGGUGAGUAAUCAAAGCUGAUUUUAUAGUUGCUGAUAUCUAUCUGUUGUUUCCCUUUGUAAAUUUUCCAGUUUAAUGUUAGACUAAUAUCAUUUUGUUUAUGUUGUUUCAUCAUCUAUCUGUUGAUUUUAUAUUUGGAAGUUGUAGAGACAUAGCAAAAGCCUGCAGAGUAUAACAAAAGUGUUGAUGAUUUAUCGAAAGAUAGCUAGGAAUUCCCUUAAUGGCUUUUAUAUCAGGUCAGCUGGUAAUGAACUUAUCUGUAUUU